rnacentral:rRNA from 1 species
AGUCUGGUGCCAGCAGCCGCGGUAAUUCCAGCUCCAAUAGUGUAUAUUAUUUUUGCUGUAGUUAAAAAGCUCGUAGUUGGAUUUCGGAAUGUGAUUAUUAAGGUCUAUUCGAAUGAAUAUGAUUGAAUGAUUGCUUCCUUUUUUUGGGUAAUGGGGAGCGAGUAUUUAACGAUAUUCACUCUAUCUAACCAUUCCUAAUUGUUUACUUUGAAAAAAUUAGCGCGUUCAAAGCAGGUUUAACUUUGCCUUGAAUAGUUUAGCAUGGGAUAAUAGAAUAGGACCUCGGUUUUAUUUUGUUGGUUUCUUUAGCUGAGGUAAUGAUUAAGAGGGACAGUUGGGGUCGCUCGUAUUGAGUCGUCAGAGGUGAAAUUCUAGGAUUGACUCAAGACGAACUGGUGCGAAAGCGUUCGACAAGGAUGUUUUCAUUAAUCAAGAACGAAAGUUGGGGGAUCGAAGAUGAUCAGAUACCGUCGUAGUCCUAACCAUAGACUAUGUGGACCAAGGAUCCGAAGAAGUUAAAUAAUGGAUGACUCUCCGGGCACUUUGUGAGAAAUCAGAGUAUUUGCAUUCCGGGGGGAGUAUGGCCGCAAGACUGAAACUUAAAGGAAUUGACGGAAGGGCACCACCAGGAGUGGAAUCUGCGGCUUAAUUUGACACAACACGGGGAAACUUACCAGGUCCGGACACAAUAAGGAUUGACAGAUUGAGAGCUCUUUCUUGAUUUUGUGGGUGGUGGUGCAUGGCCGUUUUUAGUUGGUGGAUUGAUUUGUCUUGUUAAUUCAGAUAACGAGCGAGACCUCAUCUUAUUAAUUAGUUAUUUGAAUUUAAUGAUUGUAAAAGAUUAUUUAUCAAAUUCAAAGUGAUACUUCCUAGAAGGACUCUCGGUAUAUUUAGCCGAUGGAAGUUUGAGGCAAAAACAGGUCUGUGAUGCCCUUAGAUGUCCUGGGCUGCACGCGCGUUACACUGACGAUAGCAACGAGUUUUUUCCUUUCUCGAAGGGGAUGGGUAAACUUUUCAACCAUCGUCGUGAUUGGGAUUGGGCCUUGUAAUUAUUGCCCAUGAACGAGGAAUUCCUAGUAAGCGCGAUUCAUCAAAUCGCGUUGAUUACGUCCCUGCCCUUUGUACACACCGCCCGUCGCUUGUACCGAUUGAAUGGUCCGGUGAGGACUUGGGACGGAAAAAGUUUUAUUAUUUCGCAAGAGAUGAUAUAUUUUUCUGAAGCUUGUUCAAACCUUACCAUUUAGAGGAACAAGAAGU